UACGAAGGGGGCUAGCGUUGCUCGGAAUCACUGGGCGUAAAGCGCACGUAGGCGGCUUCUUAAGUCAGGGGUGAAAUCCUGGAGCUCAACUCCAGAACUGCCUUUGAUACUGAGGAGCUUGAGUCCGGGAGAGGUGAGUGGAACUGCGAGUGUAGAGGUGAAAUUCGUAGAUAUUCGCAAGAACACCAGUGGCGAAGGCGGCUCACUGGCCCGGUACUGACGCUGAGGCGCGAAAGCGUGGGGAGCGAACAGG
rnacentral:rRNA from 1 species